rnacentral:miRNA from 1 species
UCACUGGGUUAUGUUUGUCCC